rnacentral:piRNA from 1 species
CCUCUACCUUGAUGACAAGCUCUAAAC